rnacentral:rRNA from 1 species
UUUUUGGAGAGUUUGAUCCUGGCUCAGGACGAACGCUGGCGGCGUGCCUAAUACAUGCAAGUCGAGCGGACUUUUAAAAGCUUGCUUUUAAAAGUUAG